rnacentral:rRNA from 1 species
GACGAACGCUGGCGGCGUGCUUAACACAUGCAAGUCGAAUGGAAAGGCGCUGCUUGCAGGGUACUCGAGUGGCGAACGGGUGAGUAACACGGGGGGUAACUGCCCUUCACUUCUGGAUAAGCCUGGGGAACUGGGUCUAAUUCCCGAAAGGUGCCAUGGUUCGUCUGAUGGUCGGUAGGUUUUUUCGUUGUAGCAUGAGCUCACGGACUAUCAGCUUGUUGGUGUGGUAAGGGCAUACCAAGGCGGCGAGGGGUAGCCGGCCUGAGAGGGUGGACGGCCAGAGUGAGGCUGAGAAACGGCCCGGACGCCAGCGGGAGGCAACAGUGGGGAAUGUUGCAAAAUGGGAGCAAGCCUGAUGGCGCGAGGCCGCGUGGGCGAUGGCGGGCUUCGGGUUGUAAACUCCUUUCGCUAGCCAAGAAGCUUUUUGUGACGGUACCUAGAUAAGAAGCCCCGGCUAACUACGUG